UACGUAGGGGGCAAGCGUUGUCCGGAUUCAUUGGGCGUAAAGAGCGUGUAGGCGGCCAGGUAGGUCGGUUGUGAAAACUGGAGGCUCAACCUUCAGAGGUCGACCGAAACCAUCUGGCUAGAGUCCGGGAGAGGAGAGUGGAAUUCCUGGUGUAGCGGUGAAAUGCGCAGAUAUCAGGAAGAACACCCGUGGCGAAGGCGGCUCUCUGGGACGGUACUGACGCUGAGACGCGAAAGCUAGGGGAGCGAAUGGG
rnacentral:rRNA from 1 species